GACAAGCGGGUCAAGUUAAAUUUUAGUCGGUAAAAAAGGAAGUUAGGAGAUUUGUUUAAUUAGCAGAGAAAUAAUUUUUUUUGUAGAGGUGAAAUUCAAGCAAAAAUGGGUUGAUUAUUAGUCCUCUGAGUUUUGAUACUUCGAAAAUUGUUAAAGAGACCGGGAUUAGAUACCCCGUUAUUUUUAUUGUAAAAUUUGGAAACAUCCUACCUGGGUACUACGAAUUGGGUUGCUAGGCUGUAAAGCUAAAAUUGUGAUUAUGUGGCUCUUUUGUUUAAAACUCAAAAGACUUGGCGGUGCUUUAAUUCUUGCCAGGGGAACCUGUCCUGUAAUCGAUGAUCCACGAUUUAACUUACUUUUUCUUGAAUGUAAGUUAUUCUUAUAUCAGCUUGUAUAUCGUCGUCGUCUGAUCACCUUUAAGAGAUAAAAAGUUGUCGGGAGAAUAAAAUUUUUGCCUCGUUGUUUGUGUUUACUUACAGGGAUGUGAGAAUAAGUUUCAAAGUCAGAUCAAGAUGCAGUUUAUGGAAAAGGAGAGAUGGGUUACAGUAUAAAUUUAAUUUGGAGUCUGAAGUGUAAUUUUCAGAUGAAAUUGAACUUGGAAGUAAUAUAGAAAUUUAAAAAUUAGUUAUUGAUUUAUUAGAUUUUGUAAGUAGAUAGUCUAUGUGAAUGAAGUUCUAAAGUGCGU
rnacentral:rRNA from 1 species